rnacentral:rRNA from 1 species
UACGGAGGGUGCAAGCGUUAAUCGGAAUUACUGGGCGUAAAGCGCGCGUAGGCGGUUUGAUAAGUCGAUUGUGAAAUCCCCGGGCUUAACCUGGGAAUGGCGUCUGAAACUACGGAGCUGGAGUGUGGCAGAGGGAGGUAGAAUUCCACGUGUAGCGGUGAAAUGCGUAGAUAUGUGGAGGAAUACCGAUGGCGAAGGCAGCCUCCUGGGCCACUACUGACGCUGAGAAGCGAAAGCAUGGGGAGCGAACAGG